rnacentral:rRNA from 1 species
CCUACGGGGGGCUGCAGUGGGGAAUAUUGCACAAUGGGGGAAACCCUGACGCAGCGACGUCGCGUGAGUGAUGAAGUAUUUCGGUAUGUAAAGCUCUAUCAGCAGGGAAGAAAAUGACGGUACCUGACUAAGAAUCCGCGGCUAACUACGUGCCAACAGCCGCGGUAAUACGGAGGGGGCAAGCGUUAUCCGGAUUUAUUGGGGGGAAAGGGAGCGUAGACGGCGGUGCAAGCCAGAUGUGAAAGCCCGGGGCUCAACCCCGGGACUGCAUUUGGAAAUGUGCUGCUUGAGUGUCGGAGAGGCAGACGGAAUUCCUAGUGUAGCGGUGAAAUGCGUAGAUAUUAGGAGGAACACCAGUGGCGAAGGCGGCCUGCUGGACGAUGACUGACGUUGAGGCUCGAAAGCGUGGGGAGCAAACAGGAUUAGAUACCCGAGUAGUC